CAGGGGGGCAGCACCCCAGAGAAAGGGGCACUGGGGUCCUGGGAAGGGCCAGCAGUAAGGCAGAUCACCAGCCUGCAGAGGGCGCUCCAGUGGCUGGAAGAGCUAAUUCCUGCUGACUACCAGCAGGAAGCACCACCGGGUGAGUCCAAACAUUUACACGGUCCUUUUGCUAACUUUAAUUAAAAACUUUAAUAUUAGAUCCUAGUACUCAAUACCCUACUAAACUAGGGAAGCUGUCAUUGGUACAAUUAAAAUGUUUUCGAAAGUUGAAUCUCUACAGGGGAAUUUAUAGCAAGUGGUUAACUUUCAAUAAAUCAGUUUUAUUUCUAGUUAUGUUACAGUGGUAUUCUCUGCAAUAAAUACCACAUUCCAUUUUAUGAAAUGAUGUACCAUUUGGCCACACCCAAGAUCUUUUCUGUGUGAGUGCACCUCUCUGUAAAAAUCCACAACAUGAUUUUCCUUUAAAUAUCUCCCCUCCUGUGAUGCCUAUAAAACACUUAAUCUUGAGCAGACAGCUGAUGUGCUGCUCAAUAGACUAAUCAUAAUUGUCUUACUGUUGUCGUUGUGCGCCCUUAAACUGUCAUAGCCACUCGCUUCUUGUUAUACACUUAUAGUAUGCCCUUUAGGGUAGGGAUGUAUAUUUCCAUUAUUUAUGUAUAGUAUCUAACACAACUGAACUCCAAUUCUGAUUGGGAAUUGUGAUGGAGUAUGUGUCCCACACAGGUAAUGAUAGUAAACUGGAGACAAACAGUGAUUAGUGCACUUGGCUGCACCUGAAAGAUGGGCCAGGCCCAAGUGAAGAUGAAGCACAGCUGUGGUAAGCAUAAAGGGAGGAAGUCAAGAUGAGGAGGCUGCGGGGAGAACCUCUACAGCUGUUCUCUGGCUGCUAGAGAGUGGAGGAAAGGACUAGAGAGGCAGACAUAUAGUAUGCUGGGGGGCUGUGAGAGAGGAUCUGAAGGAAGGUCAAGGCACAAAGUCUGGUGAGACAGCCCAGAGAGCAGACCAUAGCUGCUUACCACAAGAUCUCUAGACUGGAACCCAGAGGAGGUGGAGGGCCUCGGUUCUCCUACCAGUCCACCAGGAAACACACAGACACAAAAAGGAGAACUAUUAUUUGGAGCCAAGCCUCCAGGAAGAAAGUACUGGGACACAUUGUUCUGUACAAGAGCAGGACAACUUUGCAGAGCCUGGGAAGGGGCCAAGAGUUAUGUUUCUGUUUAUUGGAAUCUUUGUUUACCCUAGAAGGGGUGAGACUGAAGGUAACCAGGCCAGGGAACCAAAGAAAACCACCUCAGGGCCAGAGUGGCUAUCGACAAGGGACACUAGGGGAGGAAAGCCUGCUAUGCCAGGCCCAGCCUCAAGGAAAUGCACCAGUGAGCACUAUUUAUCAAAGGAUCUCAAAGCACUUCACAGACAGGAGAAUAAUAAUAAUCACCUGCCAUAAGUGGAUGAACUGUUGACUAAGUAUACUGCAAUACCAAGAAAUCAUAUAGUACAGGUAAAGUUCCAAGAUCCUUUGGAGGUUAAAUUGAGAUUGUUGGGCUACUGACACUUUUAUAUGAUUUAUUUGUAUAUUUUCUAAGUUUAUACAAGUGUUAAUGAUCUUUCCCCACCGCCCCCCUUAAAUCAUAAUCUAGUGGCAAGACAUGUUAACGGAAUUCCUGCAGGCUCAGAGAAGCUACUAGCAUGAGUGCAGCAAAUGCAUACAGAGAGUACCGUAUAAAACCAGAUAUGGCUGCUUAAUGUGGGACAUGUUCACCCUUGUUUUUUUAUGACAAUUCAAAACACACACGUUCUGGAAGGGCAUCUAAAGAAAGUAUAACCACCUAAGUACACUGCAAAAGAUUAUCUCACAUAAUACCUGGGAAGUAUCUUUCUGGAACUUUGGAAAUGUAAAAGAGAAAAGCUACAGCAGCAAUCAAGUACAUCACAAUUACUCGAGGAGCAAACUCCUGCAAAAGAAAAUGAAGCUUUAAUGCUUAGUAUUAGAACAUGAACAUUUACCUCAUAACAUUUGUCUAGCAAGUGCACUGCAUACUUUGCAAGGACAAAGCUUUAAUCUCAUUUUAUUUACAUGAACGUUGAACAGACUUCAAAUCUGUUAGAAGUAUCAAAACCUGAGACCGAAGAGGUUAAAGCUUAGCCCCCUCUUUGUGCUUGAAACCAACCACGCCUCUGUGUUCUCUGUGCAAAGGUGAAAUUCCACAGUAGGAAAUGUGGUUUUUUUUUUUUUUAAAUGCAUUCACACUGUGCCUAAGAACAGAUUUCCUUAGACCUGUCCCCACAACUCUACAAUGAAGCAUUUCCAUUAGUAAGAAUGCAUUUAAAAUGCUUGACUAAUGAAAAAAGUGGAUCAAUGCCCUGUAAGUUCCUUUUGGAGGUAGGGACCUAGUUAAAGGUAGCGGGAGGGAAAAGGUUAUUAAAUCAGCUUGGAAUCUUUGACCAUGUGAAGCAUAACUUACCACACAUGAUCUCACGAGGCUACUAAACACCAGAUGGGAAAAGGGAUGAAACUGUUUAGUGGAAAGCAACCUAUACAUUAGUAGUGUGUAUGUUUUUUUUUUUUUUUUUUUUUUUUAAGUCCCCAUUCCCACAGUAUCUUGCUGCCAAAAACAAAGCUUUCUAUUUUUAGAUGUACAGGAACAAGAUCCAUAACAUGUACUUAUGCACAGAAGUACUUUGAAUACCCAGGCAAUACUAACCGCUAGUGAGUGUAUAGAAAAAAUACACAAUUUUUAAAAACUCUUUGAAGUACAGCCUAUUCUGAAGUCCAUUAAAGUGCCAGUAUAAGAACCUGCACAGAUUAGCAUUAUGGUAAAUUCUCAUCUGUGUCUAGUUCUUUAUAUAACUACUACAACUCCUAUUUUA